rnacentral:rRNA from 1 species
UGGGGGAUAUUGCACAAUGGGGGAAACCCUGAUGCAGCGACGCCGCGUGAGUGAAGAAGUAUUUCGGUAUGUAAAGCUCUAUCAGCAGGGAAGAAGAUGACAGUACCUGACUAAGAAGCCCCGGCUAACUACGUGCCAGCAGCCGCGGUAAUACGUAGGGGGCAAGCGUUAUCCGGAUUUACUGGGUGUAAAGGGAGCGUAGACGGUUAUGUAAGUCUGGAGUGAAAGCCCGGGGCCCAACCCGGGACUGCUUGGAACUGUGUAACUAGAGUACAGGAGGGGCAGGCGGAAUUGCCUGGUGUAGCGGUGAAAUGCGUAGAUAUCAGGAGGAACACCGGCGGCGAAGGCGGCCUGCUGGAGCUGAAACUGAACGUUGAGGCUCGAAAGCGUGGGGAGCAAACAGGAUUAGAUACCC